rnacentral:ncRNA from 1 species
UACGUCGAAACGUCAGCGGCUCGUUUGAGAGACACCCAAGUAGCAGGGGCCCGAGAAAUCCCGUGUGAAUCUGGCGGGACCACCCGCUAAGCCUAAAUAGUUCCCUGGUGACCGAUAGCGGAUAGUACCGUGAGGGAAUGGUGAAAAGUACCGCGGGAGCGGAGUGAAAUAGUACCUGAAACCGUGUGCCUACAAGCCGUGGGAGCGUCGGAUGGAAGCUUGCUUCUAUCUCGUGACUGCGUGCCUUUUGAAGAAUGAGCCUGCGAGUUUGCGGUGUGUUGCGAGGUUAACCCUGGUGGGGAAGCCGUAGCGAAAGCGA